AAUUAGCUUGGGAAAUAACACUUUGUAGCCUCAAACACAUAUUAAGGCUUAAAAGCAAUGUCACUAAAGGAAGCCAGACAUCUGAUGAAAACAAUUACUUGGAACACUUACCUAAAAACAUACCACUAAGAAUCAUAAUUCGUUGACAAAAUAUGAAAAAAUCGCCAAACUCAUAUCAGUUAUCUUAAAACUAAUGUUUUGGCAAUAAAAUCUAACAUAGUACUAUAAUAGCAACAAAGUAAUUUAAACAAUAAAGUAGCCUAAACAAAACAAAUAAUCAGAACAAUAAGACAUGGCAAUGAUGGGCUAAACCAUGGAAUAUGAAGCGUUACUGAACAAAAUAGGAAAAACAAGCAUGAACGUUUCAAUAGCUGAUUUUUAUAUAACCGGAAUAGAGAUAUACUAUGCGUUUGUAUGAACAAACCAUGAUCAGAAACUGCACCGAGAACCUCGAACGGCAACGAAAAAAAUAAGUUCAUAGAAAAGGAUCCCAACAAUCUGAGAACGCCAGCGCCGAAAAUUUUACGCUGCGAUAGGCACUUGGAAAAGGAAUCACGAUCAGAGCCUACAGUUUCUAGUCGGAAUCCAUCUGAGAAUAAGAUUGUAACCUUUUUUGUGUGUGUGAGUUUUUGUGCCAAUCAGAUUGGGAAGCUAGGUCCUCUGCCGUUCUUGGCCUUAUAGUUGGAGGAAUUUUGAAUUGAAAGAUUGUAUUCAAUCCUCUUUUGUUUUUUUAAUGGCUGUCGUUUCUUUUGUGCUCUAGAUUUUAG
rnacentral:lncRNA from 1 species